rnacentral:lncRNA from 1 species
GAUUCAUAGAUAUAUUACCUCUACCCACCCCCGCCAACGUCAUUCAUCACCACGUCAUCAUCCCGCAGAGUAAUUCUAUAUUAAACAACGAAUGAUUGACCGAGCAGCCAACCGGCCUGCCCGCCAGUCAGUUGGCCAGUCAGUCGGCCAGCUAGUCAGCUAAGCAUUCACCCAUCUCACCCAUCCAGCCUACCAGCCUGCCAGCUUAACAAACUAAACUACCAUUGCAUACAAUUGUUGCAACGAUUUUAUUUCCUUUGACUGAUAUAUCCGGACAUCAUUCUAUCAGUUCCCAGCUUGAGUAAAAUUCGUGCAGUCCUCACUAGCUACUCUUGCUCCCACGGGCCCGCACCAGCUCAUUUAAAACCAUUGCCGCUUCCCAAACUAGUUAUCUCAUCACUAUGACCUACUUUCUUGGUGAUGCCAGUCUAGAAUCUAUGGUUUAACUGCUCUCCUGCACUGAAUCAGCCUUGCAGAUAGAUGUGUUUUUAACUAGACAAAUAAGCUUCUACCGUAACGUUUGUCAGUUAACACGCUUUUCAGUUCAGUAACGACUUUUCACAAACGUUACAACUACUCCUCUUACCAAUAGUAACAGUAGUAGUAUUACCGUAGUAGUAGUAGUUGUUGUUGUUAUUGUAGUAGUUUUGUAGUCGUAAUCGUUAUAGUAGAAGUAGUAAUAAUACUACUACUACUUCUUCAAAUUAUAAUAAUAACAGCAACACUAACAAUACAAAGCUUCAUCGCCAUCAUCAGCUUCGAUUUACCUGCCACCGUUUUAUAAGGAUGCUACCGUGCUCAGGUAA